rnacentral:lncRNA from 1 species
AUGUAUUUAUUUAUUUUUUAAAGGUAGAGGUAGAUAAAGUCACAAAAUACAAAUUAAUUUUUUAAAUGUACCUCUAUGUACCUCCUUAGGACUCGAACAUAAGAGAUCGAUCAAAUAAAACUGUACAAAAAAACAACUCAAUUAUUAAGUCCUUGGGGGUGUAACAAAAACCUACAGUUAAUUUGUAACUUACAACUGUUAUAAGGUAGAUGGUAGAUAUUUUGCAUACAUGUGAAUUAAUUGUUUGAUCAGUAUGUUUUUACGACUAUAUUAUAAUAUUAUUGGAGGAGAGUGACCUAUAGUGCGUGAUCAUUUACUAAAUUGACUUUAUUUCCGAGCAAUAUGGGGAAAAACCCUAGUAAGAGAAACAAACCAACAGAAGAAACACUGCUUAGUAGUUUAUAAUUCACUAUUUUAGUAGAUUAUUUGUUUUAGAAAAAACUUUUUUCCUUCAGCUUUAGUUUUUUCUGUUAGUUAAUUAAGCUAAUUCAUAACCAUGCAUUUGUAAAUUUUAAGUUAAUUUAUGCCAUCAUUAUAUAUACUAGUAAUGCGAAAAAACAUUCUGAUCAAUUGUAACAAUUAAUUGGGAAAAUAAUUAAUCGGCUGUGCGGAUUCCUGGAGAGAUAUAUCAAAGCUUGAGAGAUUAUAAGCUUUGCUCCUCACAACAGCGACUGUUCAAGUUAUUGGCUUGUGAG